CAAGUCGUACGAGAAGGCCACUGAACAGAUUGAAGUGGAGUGCUUGCACAAAGAUGGAUUCAGUGGAUGUGGAUUCGUCCUUCUAGUGGCGAAACGGGUGAGUAACGACGUGGGUUACCUGCCUCUAAGACUGGGAUACCGAAUUGGAAACGAUUGUUAAUACCGGAUGUGCUCUACGGAGUAAAGAUGGCCUUUAAAGCAUCACUUAGAGAUGGGCCUGCGGCGCAUUAGCUAGUUGGUGGGGUAAUGGCCUACCAAGGCAACGAUGCGUAGCCGAACUGAGAGGUUGAUCGGCCACAUUGGGACUGAGACACGGCCCAGACUCCUACGGGAGACAGCAGUUAGGAAUAUUCGUCAAUGGGGGCAACCCUGAACGAGCAAUGCCGCGUGAGUGAUGAAGGUCCCUCUGGAUUGUAAAACUCUGUUGUUUAGGAAAAACUAUACAUAUAGGAAAUGAUAUGUAUUUGAUGGUACUAUUCAAGAAAGCCACGGCUAACUACGUGCCAGCAGCCGC
rnacentral:rRNA from 1 species